UACGUAGGGCGCAAGCGUUAUCCGGAAUUAUUGGGCGUAAAGAGCUCGUAGGCGGUUUGUCGCGUCUGCCGUGAAAGUCCGAGGCUCAACUUCGGAUCUGCGGUGGGUACGGGCAGACUAGAGUGAUGUAGGGGAGACUGGAAUUCCUGGUGUAGCGGUGAAAUGCGCAGAUAUCAGGAGGAACACCGAUGGCGAAGGCAGGUCUCUGGGCAUCUACUGACGCUGAGGAGCGAAAGCAUGGGGAGCGAACAGG
rnacentral:rRNA from 1 species